rnacentral:lncRNA from 1 species
UCCACCCCAUUUUUAUUGCCAUUGAACACAAAAUUUGAAUAUGAUUUCAGAUAAAAUCAACAAUGAAAUGAAUAGUUCAUUAGCCUAUAUAUGAUUUUUUUAGCAAUGAUAGACCCAUACAAAAUGUGUAUAUUAUAUGCUAUCACCAGCUAGAUUGUCCAGUGCUUCGAACGACACCAGGAACAACAUUGUAAUGUCUUGAUAAAUAUUCAUAUUUUCCACUUUUUAGACACUUUUCUUUUAUUGAAAGGAAGUUAUCAUGGUGUUUAGUUGCUGUAUGACCAAUUAUUAUAUUUGCAUAAUCAGACUCCUCCUCACAGUUGUAGCAUUUAGUCAUUUUCGGUUUCCAUUUCUUAAACAAUAAAAUAAAUAAUACAAGAUACAAGACAAAUAGAUAAUGAAAUAUCUAAGAUGUAUACUCUUUUAAGAACAAACAUACAUCUCAUCUUAUACAAUACAUGUAUGUACGUCUUAAUUCGAAUUGUCUAUGCUUAUGUUCCGGAC